GGCCCAACUGGGAGAGGUCGUCAAUACUGCAGGGCUUGAGGGCAGCAGAGGGAGGUGGAAUUCCCGGUGUAGUGGUGAAAUGCGUAGAUAUCGGGAGGAACACCAGUGGCGAAGGCGGCCUCCUGGGCUGCUCCUGACGCUGAAGGCGAAAGCUAGGGGAGCGAACGGGAUUAGACACCCCGGUAGUCCUAGCUGUAAACGAUGGAUACUAGGUGUGGGAAGUGAAAAAUCUUUCCGUGCCGAAGCUAACGCGUUAAGUAUCCCGCCUGGGGAGUACGAUCGCGAGGUUAAAACUCAAAGGAAUUGACGGGUCUCCGCACAAGCAGCGGAGCGUGUGGUUUAAUUCGAUGCUACGCGAAGAACCUUACCAGGGUUUGACAUGCAGGUAGUAGUGAAGCGAAAGCGGAACGACCCGCAAGGGAGCCUGCACAGGUGCUGCAUGGCUGUCGUCAGCUCGUGCCGUGAGGUGUUAGGUUAAGUCCUGUAACGAGCGCAACCCUUACCGUUAGUUACAUGUGUCUAGCGGAACUGCCCGGCAAAACUGGGAGGAAGGUGGGGAUGACGUCAAGUCAGCAUGGCCCUUUUGUCCUGGGCUACACACACGCUACAAUGGCCGGUACAAUGGGUCGCCAAGCCGUGAGGCGGAGCCAAUCCUUAAAGCCGGUCUCAGUUCGGAUUGCAGGCUGCAACCCGCCUGCAUGAAGCUGGAGUUGCUAGUAACCGCAGGUCAGCCACACUGCGGUGAAUGCGUUCCCGGAGAUUGUACACACCGCCCGUCACGUCAUGGGAGCUGGUAACACCUGAAGCCGUGGGCUAAC
rnacentral:rRNA from 1 species